UACGUAGGGUGCGAGCGUUAAUCGGAAUUACUGGGCGUAAAGAGCGCGCAGGCGGUCGUUCAAGUCGCGUGUGAAAGCCCCCCGGCUCAACUGGGGAGGGUCACGCGAUACUGAUCGACUCGAAGGCAGGAGAGGGAAGUGGAAUUCCCGGUGUAGUGGUGAAAUGCGUAGAGAUCAUGAGGAAGACCAGUGGCGAAGGCGGGUCUCUGGACAGUUCCUGACACUGAGACACGAAGGCCAGGGGAGCAAAUGGG
rnacentral:rRNA from 1 species